CCGCGAAAUAAUCGUGCCACCGACGUUGAGUAGUCAACAUGGUUCCACGCGUCCACGCGCGACUUCUGUCAAACGAUGCGGUCGCUCGGCCUGAGUAUUGUUAGCGACGUGCGACGUCUCGUCCGUUGAAAAGAAAGUUUUCAUGGGAAAUCACUGGAAGUUUUAAAGUCUGUCACGACUGUACUGGUUCUUCGGCGAAGGUUUACCAGCCACUUUUCUAAUUACACAGCCAGCCCUCAAUGACCACAGAUGUCUUCAAGUUUAUGGGGUCAUGUCGAAAGGAGGACUCGAUGGAAUUCAUCGGCUCUCAUUGGAAUGUGGUAAAGGCCGGAAUGAAGGUCGAAUAAGUCUCUCAACCGGUUGUCGCAAUCUCCAGCUGGUCAUGUUUCCAGUCUAAUGGAGUUACCGGUUUGUUAUGCAAACGAGCAGGGGUUUUGUAUAGUCGGCUCGUAUUGGAAGCUCCCUUGCGAAUUAGUCUGAAAACACUUGCUCGAACAGAACGAACUGUCAAGCGAAGCACGUAUGUCCCCUAAUUACACGCACGGGACGCGUGCAUACGCCAUUUCGAACAAGUCCGAGGCUCUGGUACAUCGGUUCGUUACGCACCGGAUCGAGCUACAAUUUACGUAGUCGUUUACCAUGUUCCAGCACGCAUGUACGCGUUAAUCGUGACUUAUUCCAAUUCUUCAAUUGUCCUCGUGUCAACGCUGCAAAUCUGUUUCGUUUCGAUCUAUUCUUUUACCGCCAUUCUACCGAAAAAGAGAAAUCAAAAAUCAAAUUCGAAGCUAAAAUAUAAUACGUAGAAAUUACUUGCGGAAUUAAGAUUUAUUUUCAAUGAUCGUAUUAAGUUUCCAAUUAAAUCUAUAUACAUUUUCCAACGGUUAUGUAAAUUCAUUCUUCCGAAUUUGUAAAUACCGUUAUCUCUAGUUCUUGUUCGGUGUGCUUCUUUAGUGAUUCUGUAGUCUUCUCGUUAGAUUUCAAUUUUCAAAGUCAAUAUUAAUUUGUACUAAUAUUUGCGUGAGAUAUAAAUUCCUAAUUUAUUAUAAUUCCUUUGUUAUUUUAAUCGCUAUUUUAGACACAGACAAUGUGGUAUUUCUAACAUUUACUUUCCAUUCACGAUAUCCACCUACCAAUUUAAAAUCAUGAAGAAGCAUUCCGGAUGCAUCAAUCCAGUGACUGAUUUUUCGUAUAAUUUUUCGAUGACGUAGAUUCCAAUUAAAAAUCAGUUCGCUGUACGUAUAUUUAACGGGAGGAAAGUGAGAUCGGAUAAAAGAAAGUUUGUUACGCAUAAGCGUGAUAUCCAGUGUAUCGCCUGUUGUUCUUUUCACCGUGACCACUUUCUUCUGUUUAAUUUGAGUGUCACGCCUUUGAGCACCGCGUCAGUCGAUGUAAUAACUCGAACACCGGGAAGAUGUGCUUACCUCGCGUAAUUAUUAGAAGUUGUUAACAGAAGCGUCUACUACCGCGUAUAAAUGAUUCCUGUAAUGUUUCGAAGUUCACACGUAUGACUGAACAUGGUUGGUUUACGAGACAUUUUGGGCAAUUGCGUGUCACAUUAAAUUAGGGGAAUUUGCACAGUCAUUCAAUGCGAUGGAUCGAAUUGAUGUUUGGAGCAGUGAUGUGAGUUAAUCGUGAUUUCAUCUAAUCAGGCUUGGAUAAACUUGCUUAUAUUUGCUUCUGCUUAACGAUGCUUGUUCAUGAUAAAUUGGCCGCGUACCGUCUAAACUUUACACGCUUCCGAGGAGCAUUGAUCGUAAUUUAUCGCAACGUUGAACGAUUGGCUUCCGCCUGUAUAAGUUAUUAAGAAAUAUCCGAGACUUCGAAGCCUCGUAGUGGUCACUGAGUGGAGUAGAAAAUUUUGUUUAAUCAACAUAGUAUUUGGAAUGGUAUAGUAUUUCGUGAUGGUCGAGAAAAUUAUGUUUAUUAAACAUUUCUUCUCGAAGAUACUAUAUUUUACAAUAAAAAUAGGUAUUGAUUUUGAUUGAAUAUUUUUUACGAUUUUUAUAUCGAUUAACCUUUUUAUAUUUGUCACGAAGAAUACUAAAAACUUUUACAAUUUCACGCCAUCAAUUUUUAACACUUAAUGUUAUCAAUAUAUAUAUAUAAUUUGAAAAUUUACUUUAUUUAUUUGUUGUCCGUACACUAUCUUAUUUCAUUUCUAUAUGAUUGUACCGAUCAAGUAGCUCAAUUAUGUUAAUCAUGAUUUUUUAAUUUUCAAAUAAACGUAAGGAAUUCUGAUCUGAUUUCAGUAAGCUUUUUUUUUCAAGAGCAAAGAAGACUGCGAUGUAUGAAAAAUUAAUUAUAUAUUUGACUUACCGUAUGCAUACCUAGCUAUUAUGUACUCGUUAAUUAUAAAAAUAUCUGCUCAAGCUGUACUAAGAUUGCAAUUACGAAGUCGUUUCUUGUGCUUGAACGAGUUAACGCUGCAGGCGACGACUCGAGCUUCUCGUGGCACGGUCUGAUUAGGCUUGCUUAUGCUUCAUUAAAUUUAGCAAUCGCAGCUCGAAGGCAAAUUACGUUAGUCUAUAUACGGCUUUCAGAGGCUGCGAAAUUUUCUCUUUCAUCGGUGUUCACCUAUUUCCAUGUGCGUCGCUUAAUCAACCGUUUAAUCGUGGCAACCAGUUUCAUAUUCGCCAUUCACCUUCUAUUGAGCUGUCCGGAAAGCUACUAACGAAAUUUAAGAGCAAUUUAAAUUAAGAUCUACUUUUAUAGAGUUGAAUAACAUAUGGCCAGAACUAAUUAUAUUUCCGAUAUUAAAUAUCAAUUUAAAUAAUUAAAAAUUCUUAAUUAAAAUUAAAUUAAAUUAGCAAGUACUUGAGUUUUUAAAUAAUUAUUUCAAUUUCGGCAAAUAUCGAAACUGCAGCGCUAAAGCACUUAAAUUCAGCAACAGCAAUAUUAACCACGUCGGUAUUUGAAUAUUUCAAGAUAGCAUAAGCUACUUUUCAAGCAAAUUACAAGAACAAACGCGGUAAUAUGCAAGCAUGAAUGAUCUAUAUCACGUAAAACAUUCAUUAAGGUUUGGUGGUUGACGUUACAUCCAUGCAUGCAGGCAAAACAACUCUAUACGGUAUGAUUCAUUAUGCUGCAAAUGUUUGUCUGUUGCCUAAUUCCACCGCAAUUUGAUUACUAUUCGCGAACUUGAGUUUCCUUCGCUUCAGCAUGAAUGUGCAAAGCCGUUUGCUCUCCUUCUAUUUGCCAGACACUGAAAAUCAAGCUUUCUCAUUUUUAAACCGCCAGAUAAAUGAGUUUAGUAAACAUAAAUGAAGAUCACGGGGUAAAAACACGAUAAAUCACAUUUUUUAUUUUUUACAGAGGAACAAUUUAAAAAUUCGAUAUGUCAACCAAUUUUAUACAACAAGAGCUAUUCUUUUAUUUGAUAUUAGGAUGAAAUAUAUGCUUUUGUUAUCCAUAUAUCGAUCGUCAUUGAAUAGCAUGCAUUAGCAUGAAUUGACAUUGAAUAGCAAUUUUUUUACAAAAUUUCGUGGAUUUGUAAAGAUGGCAAAUUAUUUUACUUAUAUUAAUUACUUUCCAAAAUUUAGGCUUUAAAUUCUGGUUAUGGAAGAUUAAAGUUUCUCCCCGUUUAGUCGCGAAGUCACCUUUGGGCCAUCCUUACAUAUAAUUAGAUAUGAGUUUGACGAAAAAAUCAAAGACGCGUGAUAUUCAAGUUUGAGAUAAAUUUGUCGCAAAUAUCCUAACUGAAGCGAAAUGUUGGCAUAGUUGUUAAUCAAACACGCUGUAAUUGACACCAGUAAUUUGCAGCAUCUUGAGAAGCAUGCGACGCUUCUCGUCACACGGAAAGCUAUGGCCGCGAGCGUCUGUUCAAGUUGUCGUAACUUCGUCGUCGUUAUUAACUCGCGUUAAGGUAGACAUACAUGACGAUAUUAUCGUAACAUGUUCAACACUUAGUGGUUUGUUAGAAAAAUAAUUUUUAAUUGCUUCAAGAUGAACACAAAAGUGAAAGGAAAUUUUUACGAAAUAGGAGACAUUGUAUUCAACGAUUAAGUUUCACUAACGAUUAUACCUCGUUCCAGUUGAAAUUUUCCAAAAACCUUGGCUUUUUUACAUGGCACUAUCAUGGCGUUAUGAAGCGUAAGAGGUAAACCUAUGAAACUUACCCUUUUCUCACAAUCUUGGGAUCUUCUCCUCUACUAUUACCAUAAAACUAUCAAUUUUAUGAAAUUUUUACGCGCCAUCGUCGCGGUGUUAUAAAGCAAACUUAGUAAACUCACAAAAGUCCCUCUUUUUCUGAAAAUCUUGGGAUUCUUCUCGUUACAAUUUUCAUAAAAUUAACAAUUUUUAAAAUUUUAUACACGUCGUCGUCAUGGUGUCAUAAAGUAAAAGAACUGAACACACAAAACUCUGUCCUCUCAUUAAUCCCGCACCUUCGACGAAACUCUAAAAGAUCUUGGGUUAUUUUCCCAAACAUGUUGAUCAUAUCCGCGGCCAGAGAGUACUGGGACCAUUGACGAAAAUUUGUUCGAAGGAGAACAGCAGUGAUAACAACGCAAAUCCUAAUAUGUUUACGCACGUAUGAGGAACCAUCAGGUGCGUGGCCAGAUAACGCUUAGGUGCAUUCCCAUGGAGGAACAAUACGGAUCCACGGGUUGCGGAAGCAGUGUGGAGGGGGUUGCGAAGGUGUGGGGGAGGAUAAGUGAGAAGGGGCGCACGCACACACAGCGUGUAACCGGCCUUUGUGCCAACUGAGAUCCUGUAGAUGGAACAUUGAGCCGACAAUACGUCUGCUAAACCUUACGUAACGCGAUCUCCUUGUCCCUAUCUGUGUUUACGCAUGUGCGCGUGGAGAACGGAAGUUAAGCUCUCGCACGGUGUUACGCGAGCUUUUCCUCCCCUCGCGUAUCGCCAGCUAUACGUGCGGAUAAAUUAAUCGAUGUACAUUCGACGUGGAAUAGCCGGAUUAUGGAAUGGCUGCGAUGGGAAUUGUAGCGGUGAACGUGCCGGAGGAAGAGCGAAAUUUGAAAUGGAUAUUGGUUACGACUUUUUGAAGGCGCGUUUGCCGAAUGAUAUGGGGAUGAUUUACUGUAGUGCAGAUCGCAAACUGGAGUACCGGAUGUUUAGUUAACGUUACAUGUGGAAUAAUUGAAUUAUGAAACUGAAUUACGACAAGGAGAAUGUGUAGUUUAAAAGAAACAUUGGUUACGAUUUUUUAAUAUUCUUGCAGUUCGGCUUUGUAAUGUAAUUUGGGGAUGAUUUAAUGUUAUCAUUGUUACAAUAUUUAGUGUUAUUAGAUACGUUUCUCUUGAUUCGUUUAUAAUGAAAUGUAGUAAUUUAUUCAUUAUAAAAACUAGCUUGCAUAUCUACAACAUAUGUUGCAAAAAUUUCUCAUCCCCUUUCGAUGUUAUAUUUUUUCAUAUUAAAAUUAAAUUGGUGGAGAAGACGGAACGGAAUAUUACGGUAAUCGCGCCUGUGGUAAAUUUUCGACCUCUUCUUUUGGUAAUUUUUUUUUUUUUCACACAACGAUUGCAAGAAACACCAGCCGAAAUUGAAUUCGUAACAGCAACAUACAUUCGUGAAAUAGCGUUCACAAUGAGAAUUGAUAGAAUUCAUUAAAAUGUAGGAUUGGAACAGGCUUGCCCAGGAGCUAAGCACGAGAGCCCUUAAAUUUUCAAACCAAUUUACCGUGCUAUCCUACAGCGAAACCAGCCCACCGUUUCCGACAUUUCACGAGGAUUUAUUAUACCAAACAUAGUUUAACUUAGGCGAUUUCAAUAGUUCACCAGGAUUUCAGCCGUCGGGACGUAGGUAGACAAACCUUUAUGAUCUUCUUCUACUUUUGCGGAACAUAUCAUCUUUCUGAAUCCUGGUAAUCCCUAAAUUUCAAGAGAAUUUGUUCUAUCAGAAGGGGGAAAACAUGCCCUCGUAUCCCUCACGCUAAUCAAAAUUCCUUUCAUUAAUCAUAUAACCAUCGUAAAAUUAUCGUAAAAUCUAUCAGAUACAUUUUUGAUCUCCUUGUUCUUGUAGUAUUCUUGAAUGUACAGUAAGGGACAAAAAUAGGCGGGCAGAUAGCGAAAGUAGAUAGCGAAAGUAGAUGUCGAUGCGGUGUAAUCGAACUAGUACCAGUGUAAUAUAUUGAAGUUUCAUUUAUUACCGUGGGUAGGAAAAAUAUUUGUACGUAUCUUUAUUUUCCAGCAAAGCCAUUUUAUUAGCAGUCCUUACAUUUCAUGUUCAUAGUAUCAAUUUUUUGUAAUCAUAUAAAAGUACUACUAGGUGAGACGAAAUUUAAUAUAUUUGAACCUCAUUUAUUGGUAUAUAAGUGCUAGGAUAAAUACAGUGGUGGAUAAAUAUUAUUUGCAGCCACUAUACAUAUACAUAUAUCUGCAUAAUACAUAGAUAAUUUAGUAAAUAAUUGAAAUUGAUAUUUAUAUUAUAUUGCAUUGACAUUGAUAUUUACAAUUUCUUUGUAAACGAGGUAUAUUUAAUCAAUCUCCAUUGAUACCUAUUUCCAUUACCUACCCACUUAUUUUUGUCUCCGGCUGUACGUAUAGAGCAAUUGACGGGUCGAUAUGGUUCGCUACUUGCAGCUAUUUGCAACAAAUAUUUAUAAAGUUUAUUUGUAAAUUUUGUUAGCGUCAGAAGUCGACAUUUUUAAUGGAAACGUAAUAGACUUGAAACGGAUAAAUCAUAAAAGCAUUCUAAAUUUUCUAAACAAUUUUUGGUAAUUUUCGAACAUCGAGUAUAUCGAUGCUCUUCGAAUGUAUAAAAAAUCAAGCAGAAGUUAGAAUUUAACGUUUGGACGUUUAAAGCUUGGUUAUUAUUACGACAAAUAAAAGAAAGAAACUUCUGCCGGAGUCUGAAGUGACGGUCCUUUUUGUACGUUAACAACAGAAAUGAAGUUUCGAAGAAAAUUCAUUUAACUGGGCAAACUACGUUCGAACGAAACCAAAGGGAAAAGGAAAGGGCAUUUUCAAGGAACUGUGGUUUUACAAAGAGUACGAGACUAAUGAAAAGGAAGACACAGUGUGCCAGAUAUUCCGCGAACUUUCCCCAUUAUCUCGCGGGGAUAUCCCUGUGCUUAAAGCAAAGUAGGUGGCGGAUAAAGUGACAGCAAUGUGCAGUACGUGCACGCUACGCUAAAGACACUUGAGUGCACGCAUUCGAAGCACUAGACUUCCUAUGUGCUGUUACUAAGGCUUCUCUGUCUGAUAUUUGUCUCUUCGAACUCUAACGUAUUCACCCUAACGUAUGAUAAUCCCAUAAAGGGGAUCUGACGUCUUAGAAAUACGACUGUACGUCGUUAAUUACCAUCGUACUUCCGUGGUUCUAUUAGUUACGGUUCCAUUAUUUUCUAAUCUUUUUAGUUGAACUGAAUCCUAUAUUAUUCCUUUGUAGCUAAAAUUUCUGUUUCAAACAUUAUUUAUUUACAUCCAUUUGUGCAAGAAGUCCUCAUACAUACAUGUACAUCAUAAUCAUUUCUUUGUAUAUAAGGGAAUGAGAUUGUUAUAGGUGUGAAUAUAAUAUGAUAUAAAGUAUUAAUAACUGUGCAAUAAAAUUGUGUAGUAUUGUACCUGGAUAACAAUGGUCUUUUUAUAUUAAUAUUUUCUAUGUUUGAAACGAAUAUGUGUGUAUGAAAAUUGCUACUCUUAAUGAUUGAAAGCAAUUAAUGCCCUGAAAGUGAGAUUAUAAUAUCAAUGAAUCGAAUACUGUCGUAAAAAGGCCACUGAAAAAUAAUGUGUCAGUAAUAUUCAAUGUGGAUAAUGAAGGAAGUUGCUCGGUUGUCUAGCGCGUCCACAACCGAAACAAGUAUUCGUUGAAAUGCACAUUAGAGACACCUGAAUCAGGCUAUUACACGCGAAAUGUCGCCAUUGUCACUUCCGCGUUUUAACAUUCGCGUUUAUUCUCUUCGUAAGUCUCCGCGGUGUUGUGUUUACACGGCGCAAAGAGCGUAAUUCCCUCGUGUUCACUCCAUUUUCGGGUAAUAUUGGAAUUUUAUGUGGUAAAUAAAUAUUCGUUAAGAAGGCCUCCUGUUCGUUAUGAUAACACGCAAGUUUAUCAUACGUAUUUGCAUCGUAAAUUCGUAUGGGUCAUUAAAUUUGCAAAUAUUAGCAUCUAUCGAGCAUGAAUCCGAGACAAUAAAAUGUGAUACACAGUUUUGAGAAUUUUAUUUAAGAACAUUAAAUUUUUAUUAGAAUUGAAAAUUUCAUUAACUUAAAAUUAAUCGUCAGUUAAAAUUUCUUUGGAAAUAAUAACGUAGCGAUUUCAAACUAAA